AGGGCCAUGGCUGCCCCGUGUGUCCCCUCACAAGCAGCAGGCUGGCAGGGCCAUGGCAGCCCUGUGUGUCCCCUCACAAGCAGCAGGCUGGCAGGGCCAUGGCAGGCUGGCAGGGCCAUGGCUGCCCUGGAAUGUUCCGGGCUGCCGGGGCCUGCCCGCCGCAGGAUCCGGCGCAGGCCGCAGGAAUCCGCGCAGGCCGCGGCACGCACUCAGCCCCUCCAGGGGCAGGCAGCUGCUGCUGCUGCGCUCACGCCAUGGUCUCUGCCAGGCUCCCCGGGACAGGCUCUCCUACAGGCAAGAGCACAUUGGCAAAACAACCCCAGAGUUGUAUUUUCCUUGCUCCCUCAUCAUGGCAAAACCUCCUUUUCCGAGGCAGUUGUUUCCUCCUGUUCUCUUCCCUCAGAGGAGCCUAAGGUGCCUAGUUCAGAUCCAGACGUUUACACAGAUGAAUCACACCCUCAAGGCCAUGGAGAAAAUAAUGAAAAUCUGCAAGCCUGGGCUCAAAUCUCUCCAGUCAUCUUGAAUAAUUCUAUUAUUUUACUGAAUAGAAUGAUCCAAUGUCAUUAAAUUGCUUCAUGCUUUGCUGGUAGAAAAUGAAGAUAAAUAAAUUCUCU